rnacentral:lncRNA from 1 species
CGCUCUUCAGGAGGGUUGCCCGAAGGAGCUUGAGGGGCGGGAGGAUAGUUGGGAGUGGCUCUGCGCUCAUUUUCAAGCGCCCGAAUUUGCGGUAUUUUUUUAAUAAUAUUUGUUUAAUUAUUACUUAUUACUUAUUAAUGUUUAUUUUAUUUUUUUAUUUCAUUAUUAUUUAAUUUUUUAUAUUUUAACUAAUACGUUUCAUUUUUUGUAUAACAGAAUAAAGCCCAAGUGAAUAAGGGUAAUAGGAAGAAGAAGACCCUUCUCCACCAUUCCGGCUCCAGGCCCUUUUCGUAUAGGAUGGAUGCACGGCGACGGGUAAUAAUCACAAAAUUUAUAUUUCAUUUUUAAUGUCAUUUUUAUUAAUUUAUUUUUUUCAUACUAAUAUUUUUCUUCUCUUGUUCAAUUUAGGAGGGGUCCAAGUUCCCAGAGAUCGACGUCUUUGGUGACGUUUAUGUUCGACCCGGGAAUGAGUUGGCCGAGUCCCUUCAU